AACAGCUGUUGAUAGCCUUGCACAGCUGUGUUUGCACUUAAUGCUCUGACACAGCUCAUGCCAGCAGCACGCACACAGCACUGUGUGUAGAAUGAAUAGCUCCUGUGAUCGUCAGGGAAAGCUUUGUUUCGCCAACCCAUUCCGGAACACUAGAACACAAAGCCAGCGUUGAGCAGCCUCUCCCAGCAUGUCAGCUUCCUCUUCACAGAGCGUUGCAUGAGCUGAGCCUUAAGUGCAGCGUGUGCCCACAGCCCAGCAUCUGUUCUCAUGGACAGAGAAGGAACUUGUAAGAUUAUAUGGGCUGUGUGAUGCUGAGCACCUGAAAUCUGCAGAAAGUUCGUGAAAAUAACUGCUGCCUCUCAGCCAGGAAGAGUACUUUGAAGUUUAGUUAAGUAUAAUACGUGCCCCAUGAAUGCAAACAUGUUUUGUGAUGUGCACAGCUAAACAUACCAAAAUAUCACUAACUGUCCUGUGGCACGAUUUUAGAAGAAAAACAUUAGAGUAAAAAAAUCAGACUGGAGUGAGUGGAAGAAAAAUGAUUUUAUUUCCUCUGUCUUACAAUACCCUGAGCAUAGGAAGCAUUUUUAUACAGAGCAUUACAGUACUUUAAAAAAAAGUAAUUCUGACCCCAUUAUCAGUUUCUAUUCAUAGUGAAGAUACCCCUAAGACACCCAGAUGUUUAGUAACAUCCAGUAACUACUGUGAAGACAUCUUUUAUAGAAUACCUAAAUAUUAGGUCUUGACAUAGGAAUUCCCUUCUCAGAAGUAUUUCUGUGACAUGCUCUAAAAGAAUUCUGGAUGUAUUUUAAUAGUCUCCAACAGCCUAAAGAUCUCUCAUUAUAGCAGUUCCUUAGGUAUCACAUUAAUUAGCUCUCAAGUUAAACAGAAGGCCUUCAACAUCUAAGGAGAAGGCAUUUGUACUGUUUAAUAAACAGUAAUUAAUACUAGAACAAUACUUCUUUGCAAAACACAUAACUCCAGAGCUCUUAAAAAGAAGUUUCAGAUUAAUAAAAGUUUUCAUAAUUAGCUUGAAAGUUACAGAGAAUAAGCAUAUAAAGAACUAUUAAGAAGUAAAUAUUGAGAUAUAAAAGGAUUAGAAAAAAGAGCUAGGUACCAGACAGACAACCUGCUGAAAAUUUGAGAUACAGUUGGUACAACUAUUAAAUAGUACCUUAAGAAAAAAGCCUGAACAUACUUAACUUUCCUGAACACACUUAACUUCAGCUGAAAGAUAUGAGAAACAGAUAAACAACCAUUAAAGACCCUCUCAAGAUAACAUCAGCAGCCCCCAACACAAACAACCCCCCACCAUAUAUCCAAAAACCCCCUAUAUAUCCAAAACCAUGGGGGAGCUGUGAGAGUUUAUAUGCUCAGUCAGGGCCCCAAGCACACCACUGAGCUGUUCCAGCCCAUGACCAGCCACACCUGGAGCCUCACCCACACCCUGCCCAGGAACCUAUUUGAGCUCAGCUCCAGGGCAACAGUUUUUGUAUCCCUUCCACAAUUACUAGAUGGUGGAUGAUCACCAGUAUUUGACCUGGCCUUGCAUUGUGUUCCUGAUAUGACUUCAGAUGUGUCUUGUUGGAUGCUAAUUGCUGUGGAUGCUGAUGCCUGUUCUCCUUCCUCAGCUAUUGUAGGGUGGGCUCUAGCCUUGUGAGGUGCGUAUCCUCAGGAAACAUCUCCUGAUUCACAGAUGUCCUCUGUGGCUAUGCAGUUCCUUCAAGCAUGGUAAAAAUUGCCAGACUUUUUUUUUUUUUUUUUUUUUUUGACAAGACGUCAAUAAAUAAUGCAGUCUCCAAAUCUGUUGUGCAAGACCAUCUGCAGAAGAACUAAUGAUUUUGGUACUGCUAUCUUCAUAAUGGGGAAGACUUAUUUACUGGUUACUAGAGAUGUAAAUGAAGUGGAGUUGUGGAACUGUAUUUGUGGUUGCUGUCUUGAACAUCCCUGCAGCAGGGUACUUCAGCCUGACAAGUGUCUGAAUCUUUUAACAAGGGUAAUGGCUUCCUCAUAGACACAUAGCUAAGCGUUUAUCUAUUGCCACAUGCAAAAUUUGAGACCUUUACCUGCUUUUCUUAUUGGUAUCAGCUAUUCAUGCUACAGUCAGAGCACUUAAACAUUCGGCACAGACACAGGCUUACUCCAUUUUCAGGCAGAUCAGCGUGAGUCUGGAGUCAUUCCAUGAAAUAAAUUUAAAUUUUGAUUCACAUCUUAGAUAAACAGUUGGGCCAAUAAAAUACAACCUGUUCUUUCAACCAUCUUCCCUGUGUGCAAGUCAAAGCAGAAACUGUUGGCAAAUAUGGAUUCCUGAAGCAUCAAGCUUUAUCAGUUCUGUGGCCUGUUUUCCCACACAACUGCUGAUGGCAUAAU